rnacentral:rRNA from 1 species
AACGAACGCUGGCGGCAUGCCUAACACAUGCAAGUCGAACGAGACCUUCGGGUCUUGUGGCGCACGGGUGCGUAACGCGUGGGAACCUGCCCUUAGGUUCGGAAUAACUCCCCGAAAGGGGUGCUAAUACCGGAUAAUGUCUUCGGACCAAAGAUUUAUCGCCUUUGGAUGGGCCCGCGUUGGAUUAGCUAGUUGGUAGGGUAAAAGCCUACCAAGGCGACGAUCCAUAGCUGGUCUGAGAGGAAGAUCAGCCACACUGGGACUGAGACACGGCCCAGACUCCUACGGGAGGCAGCAGUGGGGAAUAUUGGACAAUGGGCGAAAGCCUGAUCCAGCAAGGCCGCGUGAGUGAUGAAGGCAUUAGGGUUGUAAAGCUCUUUUACCCGGGAUGAUAAUGACAGUACCGGGAGAAUAAGCUCCGGCUAACUCCGUG